rnacentral:sRNA from 1 species
AACAUACGGUACAAAAUACUGAGGGAAC